GACGAACGCUGGCGGCGUGCUUAACACAUGCAAGUCGAACGAAGUGGCGAACGGGUGAGUAACGCGUAAUCAACCUGCCCUUCAGAGGGGGACAACAGUUGGAAACGACUGCUAAUACCGCAUACUGAAGGAGGGGAUUGCGUCUGAUUUGCUAGUUGGAGGGGUAACGGCCCACCAAGGCGAUGAUCAGUAGCCGGUCUGAGCGGAUUAACGGCCACCUUGGGACUGAGACACGGCCCAGACUUCUACGGGAGGCAGCAGUGGGGAAUCUUCCGAAAGGGACGAAAGUCUGACGGCGCAACGCCGCGUGAGUGAUGACGUCCUUCGGGUUGUAAAGCUCUGUUAAUCGGGACGCGGUACCGGAAUAGAAAGCCACGGCUAACUACGUGCCAGCCGCCGCGGUAAUAC
rnacentral:rRNA from 1 species